rnacentral:misc_RNA from 1 species
GAUGAAGAACGCAGCGAAAUGCGAUAAGUAAUGUGAAUUGCAGAAUUCAGUGAAUCAUCGAAUCUUUGAACGCACCUUGCGCCCUUUGGCUAUUCCGAAGGGCAUGCCUGUUUGAGUAUCAUGAACACCUCAACUCUCAUGGCUUGCCAUGAUGAGCUUGGACUUUUGGGGGUCUUGCUGGCCUGUGGUCAGCUCCUCUCAAAUGAAUUAGCCUGCCAGUGUUUGGUGGCAUCACAGGUGUGAUAACUAUCUACGCUUGUGGUUUUCCACCAGGUAACCUUCAGUGAUGAAGGUUCGCUGGGGCUCAUAAACGUCUCUCCUCAGUGAGGACAGCUCUUUGAACGUUUGAUCUCAAAUCAGGUAGGACUACCCGCUGAACUUAAGCAUAUCAUAAGCGGAGGA